rnacentral:miRNA from 1 species
UGUUGAUGGUGACGAUGAUGAUGAUGUUGUUCAUGUUGCUGCUGGUGGAGGAGAAAUAGUCAUUGGUUGAGGAGAGAUAGUUGUGUGAAGACAACAUGAACAACUGCAACAUCAGCAUCACCA